rnacentral:rRNA from 1 species
GACGUAGGGCGCGAGCGUUGUCCGGAUUUAUUGGGCGUAAAGAGCUCGUAGGCGGCUUGUUGCGUCGACUGUGAAAACCCGCGGCUUAACUGCGGGCUUGCAGUUGAUACGGGCAGGCUAGAGUUCGGUAGGGGAGACUGGAAUUCCUGGUGUAGCGGUGAAAUGCGCAGAUAUCAGGAGGAACACCGGUGGCGAAGGCGGUUCUCUGGGCAUUACCUGACGCUGAGGAGCGAAAGCGUGGGGAGCGAACAGG